CAGUUUAUGUGGACUAUGAGAAAUAAACUUUGUAGCUGGUUUAUUGCUGCCAAAAAAUGUCAAGCCAAGUAUAUGUUCUACUAAGGCUUGGAAAAUGAUAGAGCUAGACUUGCUUUAUAAUAUGAUGCUAUUUUAAAUCUAUAAUUGCAAUUUUUAAAAUUCGAUAUACUUUAAUAAUAACGUCUAUGUUUACUUCUAGUCGGCAGAACCAAUUGAAAGACCAACAGCAACAGCAAGUGGUAUCGUUAUGUCCUGAUGACACAGAAUGUUUGACAGUCCCAAGGUACAAGCGAGACCUGGUUCAGAAACUAAAAAUUUUGCGGCAAGAACUUUCCCAACAACAGCCUCAAGCAGGUCACUGCCGCAUUGAGGUUUCCAGGGAAGAGAUUUUUGAGGAAUCAUAUCGACAGGUCAUGAAAAUGAGACCAAAAGAUCUCUGGAAGCGAUUAAUGAUAAAAUUUCGUGGAGAAGAAGGCCUUGACUAUGGAGGGGUUGCCAGGGAAUGGUUGUAUCUCUUGUCACAUGAAAUGUUGAAUCCAUACUACGGCCUCUUCCAAUAUUCAAGAGAUGAUAUUUAUACA
rnacentral:sRNA from 1 species